GCUUUUCACUGGAACGGGACUUGCUCUCUGCUAUAAAACUGGCCUCUCCACCCUCGUACCAGGCAUUCUUCUACCAGCAGCACAACUCCACACAGAGCAUCUCUCUCCUCCUCUUAGGGGCUUGCCCCAGUGUCUGGCGGUGGACGAUCUGUCCGGCGUAAUCUGCGGCUUUUGCAGCAGCGCUAGGAGCGGCAACUCUAUAUUCCUCUCUCCUCGUCACGCUAGCUAAUCAUUAACCGUUCGAGUGCUUGUCUGGUUCGUCGGUGUGCAUCGGAGGCUGUCUUUGACUCUUCGACGUGUGAUAAAGGCUUCGUUUCAGCCAUCUGAUGUAUGCAUGCAAUCUGGACUGGUAGCUUGAGAGUCAUGGUGGUGGAGUAAGGGUAUGAUAGCCAGAUAAUAGUCUUCGUUUUCAUUUUCUCUCUGGUGGUAUUAGCUAAGUAAGUUGUGCUGGGGUACGCAAGAUCUACAUUCUGCUUUCUGCGCUGCUGUGAAUGUGUUUCUGCUUCCAAGUCUGAUUUCAGUCUCUUUCCCUGUCACGUGGUUGGAAUCGCCAUUGGUGGUAGUUGGUCCCACCGACUGUUUCGAUACUCUGGUCACUGUGUGCAGGGUCUGUGAGUUCUCCAAACCCACAUCAGUAGCGCGUCACCCCUUUGGCGAUGCUUUACAUUUCUGACAGCGCCAGGAUUCGCUAGUCUGAUUGUUUGCACGGCAUUGGUCCUUUGACACUGCACACAUCUGUGGCUGCUUUGUAAGCGUAGCUACGCAGCUGUGCUCACUCUCAAACUCUUCAAAUGUGCUCUCUCUCUUCACUGUCAUGACCCCGCUUCCGGGCUGCUGCAUACCAGAUAGAUUGAAGGCCGUGGCCAAGCUCUUUCCAACAAGAUCUACACUAUUUCUCCGUCAAAAGCUUCACGCUGCGCGGUAAGCUAGGACAGUGCGCUGUCGCGUGUGAUCACUCUUUUCUGUCAAGCUUCAAUAUAUCGACGUUUACCUGUGGAUACUUCGCUCCUACCCAUAUGCAUCAGGUCGCGGAAGUACAAAGCUAAGCCGUCGAGUCUGUCGGUUCACAUUACUAUUUGAGUAAUCGUUGCUGCAACGUGUACGGAAGUGUGCAGUGACUGGUGGCUUCCUAUAUUUUCUUCGGCCUUGUGGAUGUCAAUUUUAGAAUAAAACCCUGUGUUGCAACGACAGUUUAUUGCAAUGGUGCAUUCUGAUGCGUGGUUCUCUGCGUCAAAGUCCUUCAUCGGGUUACCUACACCCCAGUGCCCACGCGCAAUUGCUCAGCUGGACACAUCGAUCGAAACAUGUGAACAGCUCUUUCGUACUGUAGACGUUGCCAACUGUCUGCCUGACUAAAUUUUUAGUGGGCGCUAUCCCUCCUGAGCUUAGAAAGAAGUCAAGGGCCUCCUUGGGAGCAAAGCCAGGUGGGUCGACGUCGCCUUGUAAGCGGGGUGUUAUGCACUUGCGCUUGACGCUCCGAUCUAAGACGUCAGCUGUAGCUCCAUGGGGUGUGAUGACUGCUUAGCCCGGCACACACUCUCUGCCCGGCCCACCUACCCUUGUGAGAUGGGUAGCGCUGAUUUGCGCGACUUCCAUGUCGGUUUUAUAUCACUCCUGAGCUAAGGUGUGCGAGUGCUGCAUAUCCUUUGGAAACAUAGGUCUGGAGAUGCUUUUGUAGACUUAGCCGGCAGAAGCUGCUCUGAUACUACUUGCGCUUGCUAUUGCGUAGCCACGUGCUGACUCCAACUUGCUGGUUGGUUGUGAAAUAAAUGAUUCUAGAACUCACUCUUAAAUUGAUUGUGAUUUCAGCUA